UAAAGAAGUCACGCCAGGUGUUGAAUAGGUUUUCAGAUUCAGAUGCAUCAAUGAGAGUCAGUAAUGCAGUGGAUAACUAUGAGGAUGAUCACAUCCACAUGCCCCACAGCUGUGAUGCAGAAUCACAAUGGGAGGAUCAAUCUGUCUCUGGCCACAACCUGAUCUUCUCAGAGAGACUCUCCAGCGUCUUGAUGCUCUUUAGCGAAAGUAUGAGCAGCACAGACUAACGUUACAUGAAGAAUCUUACAACGCUUCGAAAAGAAUAAAAAGGGCACAUGACGUGAACAUUGCGGAAUCUGUAAGGCGCCUCCAUAGUUCAGAGAACAACCCACACAAAUACGUUCCACAAACCAGAAUAAAUUCAUCACAUGACCUGGCUGUGACCACUUACCUCUUCGAAGAAUUAAGGUUAACUUGCAGACGUUGACCCUAAAUGUGUAAAAGGUAAUCUUAAAGAUGUUAUAAUCAUUUUAUUGUCCUCUGUUUUACUUAUUUUUAUUGCCAUUACAUUUAUUUAUGAUAUAUUUAGCAGGUUGGAAGAUGUAUUUUGAGACUUUGCGGAGGAUGUAUUAUUUGGCUCAGCCUGAAAAGGCCCAGAAAAGAAAAACUAUGACGAGCAUUGCAAAGAACCUUCAAAGAAAGAGACUGGCAAGUUAAGAAACUGGUUAAGCCUUUUUUUUCUCUUCAGAAUGUAACUAUCCUCCUCUCUGUGUUUUAGUGGUUAAGUUACUGUCAUGUUUUUCAGUUGCUGGAGACCAGGUCCGGGGUUGUACAAACCAACACAGAAAAGGAACUUUGGAAGACCGCAACAAUAGAACUGAUGUCUGAUGAAGAUGAUGCUAUUGUUGAUGGAAGGCCAGUGUGAAUGGUGAGGUCUCCACCUAACCGUUAUCUGCUCUCUGCUAGGUACUAUAAAACAGACUAGAGGCUGACCCACACUAUGCGUCACACCACCAGCGU